UGCUUCGUACAAUUAUUAAGUACAUCACAUUUUUCUUUGUUCUUUCCCUUGAUGUUCUUAUUCCAGAUCAUUAUAGAGUUGUCUGAUGCAAGAUCUGUUGUCCCAAUAUAUUUUUCAUUUUUAUUUCUGCCCCUGCUGUUCCGUUUUUCGACAUUACAAAACCCAAAUUUAAAAUUCCGUUCCUUUUAUUCCUACUUAUCUAUUGCCAAAUCAUUGACGUCUUCUUCCGAUAUUGCUAAGUAGUCCGUUUUUUCAUAUCUAUUUCCAGGCCCGCCGGUAUUUUUUUUUUAUAACCCACAUAACCCAUAUUCUGAGAUGCAAAGAUUCAAAUAAUUCUGCCAUAAUAAAUCCCAUCUUACAUAACAAACAAAUCAACACAACCCAUAUUCCGAGAUUUAAAGCUUCAAAUAAUUCUGCCACAUUAUUCUACCCUUCGAACAAAAAAUUUCUCUAACACCCCUGUAUAAGUUAAGUCAAUAUUCUACCUCUUACUCAAGGGCUUGAGCCAUAAAUCUUACAAACAUGCGUGUCGUCGGCUAGUGGGUGGAUUUGGCAUAGGGAAAAAUAACAUCUCAUUUGCCGCUAAUUCGUCUAACGAUGAUCAACUACAAAUGAAGGCUUCAGUGAGAUUCAAAUCACCGAAUUAAAUAACUAGCCAAUGAACAUUAAUACAUGGUGUAUUUUUCCGCAGUGUAUCGUUAAGUUGUUGUUAUAGAAUGAGUAGUAUCUGUAGAAUUUUUGUUUUAACAUCUUAAACAUACUACAAAUUGCUUUUGAACUGAUGAAGCUUUCGAAAUUGUAAAGCGAAACGUUUUCAAUAUAUCAAUGAAGUAGUUGA
rnacentral:lncRNA from 1 species